GUUAAAAAGCUCGUAGUUGGAUCUCGGCGGGCAGGGGGUGGUUCGCUCUUCAGCGCUACUGCCCCGCUUUGCCCGUGUGAUUGGCGGAGGUUUCGGGGUGCUCCUUCGUUGAGUGACUCGGAGCGCCGUCAGGUUUACUUUGAAAAAAUUAGAGUGCUCAAAGCAGGCUUUUCACGCUUGAAUAUUCCGUGCAUGGAGUAAUGGAGUAGGAACUCGUUUCUAUUUUGUUGGUUUUCGGAAAUCCGAGUUAAUGAUUAACCAGGGACAAUUGGGGGCCAUUAGUAUUCAGACGACAGAGGUGAAAUUCUUGGACCGUCUGANACUGACUACUG
rnacentral:rRNA from 1 species